CAGUCGCCACGGGAAUACGUAGGUGGCAAGCGUUGUCCGGAAUUAUUGGGCGUAAAGGGCUCGCAGGCGGUUUCUUAAGUCUGAUGUGAAAGCCCCCGGCUCAACCGGGGAGGGUCAUUGGAAACUGGGAAACUUGAGUGCAGAAGAGGAGAGCGGAAUUCCACGUGUAGCGGUGAAAUGCGUAGAGAUGUGGAGGAACACCAGUGGCGAAGGCGACUCUCUGGUCUGUAACUGACGCUGAGGAGCGAAAGCGUGGGGAGCGAACAGGAUUAGAUACCCGCGUAGUCCCUGUCUCUUAUAC
rnacentral:rRNA from 1 species